rnacentral:tRNA from 1 species
GGCAAUAGGGCACUCGGUUGUGCCAAUGACUCUCAUAAGGUCUAGGGGUUGGUUCGAAUCCAACUAUUGCUAC